UACAGGGGGUGCAAACGUUGCUCGGAAUUAUUGGGCGUAAAGCGCGCGUAGGCGGCUACUUAAGUCGGAUGUGAAAGCCCUUGGCUCAACUGAGGAAGUGCACCCGAAACUGAGUGGCUAGAGUACGAAAGAGGGUCGCGGAAUUCCCGGUGUAGAGGUGAAAUGCGUAGAUAUCUGGAGGAACACCGGUGGCGAAGGCGGCGUUCUGGACUGCAACUGACACUGAGGAACGAAAGCCAGGGGAGCAAACGGG
rnacentral:rRNA from 1 species